GGGUUGUGAGGUUAAGCGACUAAGCGUACACGGUGGAUGCCUAGGCAGUCAGAGGCGAUGAAGGACGUGCUAAUCUGCGAAAAGCGUCGGUGAGCUGAUAUGAAGCGACAGAGCCGGCGAUGUCCGAAUGGGGAAACCCAGUGCAAUGCGUUGCACUAUCAUUAACUGAAUUCAUAGGUUAAUGAGGCGAACCGGGGGAACUGAAACAUCUCAGUACCC
rnacentral:rRNA from 2 species